GUCGUUUGUAGGGACAUGGAUGAAUCUGGAGAACAUCAUCCUCAGCAAACUGACACAAGAACAGAAAAUGAAACACCGCAUAUUCUCACUCAUAGAGUCCAUCAGUCAACUGGAAGAAGUGAACAUCCAUGAAGUUUUUAACGUCAAUAAUGGGGCUCCAGUUGUUCAUUACCAAGAGUGAAACAGCCAAAAUGAUUCUAAAUUAAGGUAAUUGUGAUAAUAAUGACAAUGAAGAUAACACUGAUAACACUGCUGAAAAUGUGCCUAGAAACACGUGAUGAAGUUGUGUGAUGGCUUAUGGAAGGACUAGCACAGUCUGUGAUCAUAACAGAACAAGAAAUAAUGUCAGUUUAUACAAUUAAAUAGAGGCUUCUAAGACAAAAACUGUUGUUAAUGAGGCAGAUGACUCUGGAGGAAACAUUUUAAAAAGCCAUCCAGCAGAGUGUAUCCUUAUCCCUAGAAGACUCGCUUUCUGGUUCAAUUGCUUCUGAUGUUUCUUUUCACCUAAAAAAUUAAAGAGGGUUUUUAGCAUAAAGUGCUGUUGAAUUUUGUCGAAGGCUUUCUCUGCAUCUAUUGAGAUAAUCAUGUGGUUUUUGUCUUUGGUUCUGUUUAUGUGGUGGAUUAUGUUUAUAGACUUGCAUAUAUUGAACCAGCCUUGCAUCCCCAGGUUGAAGCCUACUUGAUCGUGAUGGAUAAGCUUUUUGAUGUGCUGUUGGCAAUCGGUUUGCCAGUAUUUUAUUGAAGAUUUUGCAUUGAUGUUCAUCAUGGAUGUUGGCCUGAAGCUUUCUUUUUUUGUUGCAUCUCUGCUGGGUUUUGGUAUUAGGAUGAUGUUGGUCUCAUAAAAUGAUUUGGGAAAGAUUCCCUCUUUUUGUAUUGUUUGGAAUAGUUUCAGAAGAAGUGGUACCAAUUCCUCUUUGUAUAUCUGGUAGAAUUCGACUGUGAACCCAUCUGGACCUGGACUAUUUUUGUUUGGUAGGUUAUUAAUUGCUGCCUCAACUUCAGCCCUUGUUAUUGGUCUAUUCAGUAUUUCGACUUCUUCUUGGUUUAGGCUUGGGAGAGUGCAAGUGUCCAGGAAUUUAUCCAUUUCUUCCAGGUUUACUGGUUUCUGUGCAUAGAGUUGUUUGUAGUAAUCUCUGAUGGUAGUUUGUAUUUCUGUGGAAUUGGUGGUGAUAUCCCCCAUU
rnacentral:lncRNA from 13 species